UACGUAGGGGGCAAGCGUUGUUCGGAAUUACUGGGCGUAAAGCGCGCGCAGGCGGCCCUUUAAGUCCGUCGGUCAAAUGCCGGGGCUCAACCCCGAUGCAUGCCGAGGAUACUGGAGGGCUGGAGACACGUAGAGGCAAGCGGAAUUCCGGGUGUAGCGGUGGAAUGCGUAGAGAUCCGGAAGAACACCGGAGGCGAAGGCGGCUUGCUGGGCGUGAUCUGACGCUGAGGCGCGAAAGCGUGGGGAGCGAACAGG
rnacentral:rRNA from 1 species